CAUGUCCUUUAGAUUUUAAUUUAAGGUUUAAUCUGCUCAAUGAUGAUUUUAAAUAGCCGCAGUAUUUUGACUGUGCGAAGGUAGCAUAAUAAUUAGUUUUUUUAUUGAAAGCUGGAAUGAAUGAUUGGACGUAGGAUUAACUGUCUCUUUAGGAUUUAUUUUGAAUUUAACUUUUAAGUCAAAAGGCUUAAAUUUUUUUUAAAGACGAGAAGACCCUAUAGAGUUUAACAUAUUUAUUUUGAAAAAUUAUUUGGAAUUGAUUUAUUUUUUGAUUAGUUUGUUUAGUUGGGGUGAUUAGAAGAUUUAACUAACUCUUCUAUGUUUAUGUUACUGAUUAGUAUUUUUACUUUCUAUAAUUUUUAAGUUUAAAUUAAAUUACCUUAGGGAUAACAGCGUUAUUCCCUUUUAGAGUUCUUAUCCAUAAGGGAGUUUGCGACCUCGAUGUUGGAUUAAAAUUUAAGCUGGGCGCAGUAGCUCAUGCAAUUAAGUCUGUUCGACUUUUAGAAUUUUACAUGAUCUGAGU
rnacentral:rRNA from 1 species